GACGAACGCUGGCGGCGUGCCUAAUACAUGCAAGUAGAACGCUGAAGAGAGGAGCUUGCUCUUCUUGGAUGAGUUGCGAACGGGUGAGUAACGCGUAGGUAACCUGCCUGGUAGCGGGGGAUAACUAUUGGAAACGAUAGCUAAUACCGCAUAAAAUUGAUUAUUGCAUGAUAAUUAAUUGAAAGAUGCAACUGCAUCACUACCAGAUGGACCUGCGUUGUAUUAGCUAGUUGGUGAGGUAACGGCUCACCGAGGCGACGAUACAUAGCCGACCUGAGAGGGUGAUCGGCCACACUGGGACUGAGACACGGCCCAGACUCCUACGGGAGGCAGCAGUAGGGAAUCUGCGGCAAUGGGGGGAACCCUGACCGAGCAACGCCGCGUGAGGGAAGAAGGGUUUCGGAUCGUAAAGCUCUGUUGUAAGAGAAGAACGGGUGUGAGAGUGGAAAGUUCACACUGUGACGGUAUCUUACCAGAAAGGGACGGCUAACUACGUG
rnacentral:rRNA from 1 species